rnacentral:rRNA from 1 species
GACGAACGCUGGCGGCGUGCUUAACACAUGCAAGUCGAACGGAAAGGCCCUGCUUUUGUGGGGUGCUCGAGUGGCGAACGGGUGAGUAACACGUGAGUAACCUGCCCUUGACUUUGGGAUAACUUCAGGAAACUGGGGCUAAUACCGGAUAGGAGCUCCUGCUGCAUGGUGGGGGUUGGAAAGUUUCGGCGGUUGGGGAUGGACUCGCGGCUUAUCAGCUUGUUGGUGGGGUAGUGGCUUACCAAGGCUUUGACGGGUAGCCGGCCUGAGAGGGUGGCCGGCCACAUUGGGACUGAGAUACGGCCCAGACUCCUACGGGAGGCAGCAGUGGGGAAUAUUGCACAAUGGGCGGAAGCCUGAUGCAGCAACACCGCGUGCGGGAUGACGGCCUUCGGGUUGUAAACCGCUUUCGCCUGUGACGAAGCGUGAGUGACGGUAAUGGGUAAAGAAGCACCGGCUAACUACGUG